UAAGAUCAAAACAAGUUAUGGCAUUGCAGGCAUUUAACUCGGAACUAUUUCUCACAGCAUUCAGUAUGGACAAACUUGAAGCUGUACUCCAGGUAGACAUAAACUAAACUAGUUUGAAAAAUAAU